rnacentral:tRNA from 1 species
CAGAGUGUAGCCCAGCUAGGUCUAAGGCGCGUGCUUUGGGAGCACGAAUUCGCAGGUUCGAAUCCUGUCACUCUGA